AUGUACCACGCGCACACUUCGGUUCCUCCGCGCCGUCCGCACCCACCUGGCGACUGCUCGCUACGUUUUUUUAGCC
rfam:Xanthomonas fragariae strain PD5205 genome assembly, chromosome: 1